AGGAGACGUUGCCCGCCCGCUGCGCCUCGCGCCGUGUGGCCGUUACCGAUGUAGGCGGUGGCGGCAGGUGGGCGCGGGGCCCGGCCCGGCCUCGCCCCGCCCCCGCGCGCGGGGAGCGCUACGGCCCGGGCAGCGGCUCGUGUCCGCGGUGCCGGCGUGCUGCGAAGCUCCGCUGCCUCGGGGUCCUGGUCCCACCUGCCCUGCGGUGGGGUAGGCCUGGCUGGCCCAUCUUGUUCCUGUGGUUGGGAGCCCCCUCGGAGCCCCGAACGGAGGGCUCCCCUCAGCACACCCAGCUGAUGCCACCACACCCCGUGGCAGUUUUAGUGACAAAGCUCCUGUUGCCCCUUCUGGUGAUCCUGUGGGGCAGCUACAUGCCUUCAGUGGAUGGAGCUCCCAACCUCCAGUCCCACCUCUGACCACAGGCAAGCAAGCUCAGUCUGGAAACAUGUCUGUAGUUCAUCUCAUCUUUGGACUGAAAGGUGAAUAAGAUGCAUCUCUGUGUUACAGACAAGGCUGGAGGGCACGUUUGUAGGACUCUUGAGGAAUGUCAGUAUUAUAAUGGAAAAAGGCUUGUGGUGGUCACUGUUUUAGAAAGAAGAGAAACCAUUCAGAUGGCCCUCAGUCAUGUUUUGUUUUCCAGCUACAUAUCUGGGACUCAUAAGCAUCAGAUGCUAAUGCUAAUUUUCUGUGGUCUCUUUGCUUUGGAAUGUAAUAGGGAUUUAAUCAGUAGGGUGAGACAGAAAUGUAAAUAGGUUUCUGUAAAGAUGGCUCUGAAAAUCUAUAGAACAUAAUGGAGAAUUAGAGUAUUUCCAUGUAGUUAUUAAAUAGCCUGCAGGAGUCUAUGGAAGGAAUAAUUCUUCAUUAGUUAAAAAUAUACAAAAUGAUUACCAUUCACUGUAGAACUUUAUUAGAACAGCAAAUAAAACUUCUGUAAUGAAUGAGACCAAUAGUGUGUCCCACAUCAUCUCUGCAAAUAUCUAAAAAUAUGUUAGAACAGAGUGCAGGUGGUUAUACCUGCAACAGAAGAGUUUCUUCCUGUUCCCAUUAACUAAGAACUGACUUUGCCUUGAUGCACAACUGGUUUAGAUGCCUUCCAGGCUUUUGUUCUCUGGUUCUACUUUUAUUUUUUAAUAUAUAGCAGGUAACAGAUAAUGGUAAUUAUUGGUUUUUGUUGUUUUGUUGUUGUAACUAGAAUUUUUGUGCUUGACCAUGACAUCAUUGUAUUAGGCACUAUACAAAAGCAAAAGAAAGAUAUGGAACCAAAGAUACUACAAUAUAAAACAUAUUGUUUUUUUCAAUAUUUUCUAUCCCAAAUCAAAUGGGAUGCUUGUUAUUUUUUUAAGAAUUAAACCAAGGUGUCUUGCUUUGUUUCCAUUUAGAUGUGUUUCCUUUGCAUGAUAUCUUAUUUUAAUCUGACUCGGAAAACCUCAACUGUGCUUUCUGUACCCCACAUUUUACAUCAUAGAUUUUUGUUGUUUUAUAUUAUCCCCCUGUCCCUUAAUUAUCUCUUGUUCACAGUAAGCAGUCUCAAAUUUUUUUCAUUUUUUCAUAUUUUCAUAUUGGGAAGAGAGAGCUGAGGAAGUUGCCCUAGCAUUUGCUUUCCUUGUAUUAAAAUGGGAAUCUCUACAGUUACAAAAGCAAGCUCACCCUUAUUCAGGAAAAUCAGGAAUAGUUAAGCCAGUUCUUUGGAAAUGCUUUUAUAUGUAUCCAGACAUUAUUGCUAGAGUGAAUGGGGAGAAAAACCUCAAAAUUCCACUAUUUAUGUUAAAAAUGUUCAAAUUAAAUAAUAAGAAUGGAAACAAUUAUAGGGUUUUAGAUAUCCCAUUUUAAAUAUUUAAGUAUUCCUAAUAGGAAAGGUUCUGAAAAUAACACAUAAUUUAGAUGUGGAAAGGUAGCUCUGCAAAAAUAAGAGAGAGCAACUGAGAAAACUUCCUUUCUAGAGUCUUUCUGUUUCCUCACAUAAGCCCCAGUGCUAUGCAGGGCAUGUAGGCUGAGUAGGCACUUUGUGUUUGCUAAAUGUUGUGGCCAUCUUUCCACAACCCAAGUAGUUGCAGGGUGCCAAAAUCUGGAGGGAGCUGAAAUUAUGGAAAGAAUCCCAAAGGAGGUGAUAAAACAGCUGCUACUUGCAAGGUUUGCAAGCAGUACUGAAGUCCUGCUCCCACAGAACCGAGUGGGAGUUUUGUUACUGAUAUCUCAGAGCACAGGAUUAAACCAUCUCAUCCAAAUCCUGAGCUGCUCAUUAUCUUCAUUUUGCACCUGCUUCUCAUGUAAGGAUUUAAUCUGUAAGCAAAAGUGGCCUCUCAAAUGUACUGGAACAACCGCAGUGAAUUUCAACAUAACUAAACCAGUAAAACCAAAAAACUUUGUCUCCCUGUGUUAUGUUGAUUUCUGACCAGCAAAGUAUAAGCACUAACCAACUCCUGCUGUCUUUGCAGGAGCUUUGAUGACAGUUUUCUCUUUUCAGAAGAAUUGAAUAAGUAAUGUCUCAAAAACAGUAGGUUCUCAAAAAGUGAGCUUUGCUUUUUUUGUAUCUCUGCUCCCUAGGAUAAUCUCAAAUUCUUUGGCCAGAUAUGGAUUAUGAUUUCUUGCAAGUGGCUAAGUCUGGAGAUUAGAGUGGAUAAAGCAAGUAAAAUUAGUGUUGCCUAGGUCAGCAUUAGUAUACCCAUGAUUGUUUCUAUUUCUCUUUUAGAAUGCAAAAACAUAGUGAGAUCCAUCUAGCCCUGCGUCUCAUCUGCAGCAGCAUCCAAGAGUGGGUGCUUAAUGAAACAAUGUAAAAAUAGACCAUGUAUUCUUCUCCCAUUUGCCUUUUAAGUUUCCAGCUAGUGAGUUAGGGACUUCUGAAAGUCAAGGUUUUAUCCAAGGUAUUGUGCUUAGUAGAUACCAGUGGUCUUGUCCUCCAUGAAGUUGUCUAAACUCUUCUUGAGUCUGUUUGUAGUUUUGCUUUCUGCAGUGUGCUGUGCCAUGAUAAUUCUUCAGCUUGUAAAACAAUUUUAAAUCUGCUUCCUGAUCAUUUCGUUAGAUGCUCUUCACUCUUUUGUUAUGAGAGGCAGUGAAUUAAAUUUCUUUGUUGA